rfam:Heligmosomoides polygyrus genome assembly, scaffold: HPBE_scaffold0004435
GUGCCGGUGGUGUAAGGCGAACAUCGAUGCCCGGAAAGCAGAAGAUGCGGGUUCGAGUCCCGCCUGGCGCA